rnacentral:rRNA from 1 species
UACGGGGGGGGCAAGCGUUGUUCGGAAUUACUGGGCGUAAAGGGCUCGUAGGCGGCCAACUAAGUCAGACGUGAAAUCCCUCGGCUUAACCGGGGAACUGCGUCUGAUACUGGAUGGCUUGAGGUUGGGAGAGGGAUGCGGAAUUCCAGGUGUAGCGGUGAAAUGCGCAGAUAUCAGGAGGAACACCGGUGGCGAAGGCGGGUCUCUGGGCCGAUGACUGACGCUGAGGAGCGAAAGCGUGGGGAGCGAACAGG